GCUCCGAUGGGUCAAUGGUAGACCGCACAGGAUGCAUAAAAUUUGGGAGGCAGAUGCGGGUUCGCCUCCCGCUUGGAGUG